GACGAACGCUGGCGGCGUGCUUAACACAUGCAAGUCGAACGAUGAAGCCCAGCUUGCUGGGUGGAAGAGUGGCGAACGGGUGAGUAACACGUAAGUAACCUGCCCUGAACUCUGGGAUAAGCACUGGAAACGGUGUCUAAUACUGGAUACGACCUAUCACCGCAUGGUGUGUGGGUGGAAAGAUUUAUCGGUUCUGGAUGGACUCGCGGCCUAUCAGCUAGAUGGUGAGGUAAUGGCUCACCAUGGCGACGACGGGUAGCCGGCCUGAGAGGGUGACCGGCCACACUGGGACUGAGACACGGCCCAGACUCCUACGGGAGGCAGCAGUGGGGAAUAUUGCACAAUGGGCGCAAGCCUGAUGCAGCAACGCCGCGUGAGGGAUGACGGCAUUCGGGUUGUAAACCUCUUUUAGUAGGGAAGAAGCGAAAGUGACGGUACCUGCAGAAAAAGCACCGGCUAACUACGUG
rnacentral:rRNA from 1 species